ACAGUCGCCAUAGGCAGUGCAGAUGGUAUGAAUACGGUACCGGAUGUGCUUUCGGGCGGCAUAUGCAAAUAGCAUUCAGUGCACGGCCAUUUGCACAAGCUCAGCAAAAUUGCAAACGGGCCACAAAAUCGGCAGACGAUUGACCCAAAUGCCGAGCCGGAGCUCCCUUAACGCGAAUCGUGUUGGCAAUUUGUAUGCAAACUCUCAUAUGUAAAUUUCAGCUGCACGGCGCAUAAAUUGAAGUCGGCAAGAAAGAAAACUUUGCAAUGUCUUCUCGAUGCAACAAUAAACUCAUUUUUUUAAGUGUAGCAAAUAUAAAA